UGUUUNGGAGAAUUCAUAAAUGAAUGCAAAGAAAAUGUUUGAAGAUGUUAGGAAGAAUUAAAAUUAUUGUAAUUGAGGUUGGUUGAAGCUUGUUCCACGACCCGUUAGUCGAGAAUGAUAAGUGCCUGAUUUCGAUACAAGAUUAUUAAUCAGCAUGACAUUUAUUCCACUUUUGUAUGAGAUAAAAAUGAAAUUUUCUGGAAUAAAUUCUUUUUAGUAUGUUGUUUAGAUCUCU